rnacentral:rRNA from 1 species
GACGAGGGAUCCUAGCGUUGUUCGGAAUCAUUGGGCGUAAAGCGGGUGUAGGUGGCUUUAUAAGUCGGGUGUGAAAGCCCAGGGCUCAACCCUGGAAGUGCAUUCGAUACUGUUUAGCUUGAGUGCGGGAGAGGUUACUAGAAUUGUUGGUGUAGUGGUGAAAUACGUAGAUAUCAACAGGAAUACCGGAGGCGAAGGCGGGUAACUGGCCUAGCACUGACACUCAGACCCUAAAGCGUGGGGAUCAAACAGG